AUUGAACGCUGGCGGCAGGCCUAACACAUGCAAGUCGAGCGGUAGCACAAGGGAGCUUGCUCCCCGGGUGACGAGCGGCGGACGGGUGAGUUAUGUCUGGGAAACUGCCUGAUGGAGGGGGAUAACUACUGGAAACGGUAGCUAAUACCGCAUAACGUCGCAAGACCAAAGUGGGGGACCUUCGGGCCUCACGCCAUCGGAUGUGCCCAGAUGGGAUUAGCUAGUAGGUGGGGUAACGGCUCACCUAGGCGACGAUCCCUAGCUGGUCUGAGAGGAUGACCGGCCAGACUGGAACUGAGACACGGUCCAGACUCCUACGGGAGGCAGCAGUGGGGAAUAUUGCACAAGGGGCGCAAGCCUGAUGCAGCCAUGCCGCGUGUGUGAAGAAGGCCUUCGGGUUGUAAAGCACUUUCAGCGAGGAGGAAGGCGUUAAGGUUAAUAACCUUGACGAUUGACGUUACUCGCAGAAGAAGCACCGGCUAACUCCGUGCCAGCAGCCGCGGUAAAAC
rnacentral:rRNA from 1 species